GAGACACAAUCUCGUUCCUCCAGAAGUUCACAGAUGAACAAAGGAGACAGUGAUAGAAAUGAUUCAUAUGCAAGGCAGCAUGUGGAAAAAUAGAGGACUAUCCACAGUAUGGUGAGAACAAGAAAAAAGAGAAGCUGCGCACUCGGGGGAAGAAGGUGACCAUCUGGAUAGAGGAGGACCAGUCUUUGGUCAAGGAUAUACAAGUAGCUGCACUCCCCUGCUAGAACCUCCAAACAAUACCAGAUAAGAUGCUUCCUGCCCUCAAACAUUGGACUCCAUGUUCUUCAGGUUUUGGACUCUUG